UACGUAGGGUGCAAGCGUUUGUCCGGAAUUAUUGGGCGUAAAGAGCUCGUAGGCGGUUUGUUGCGUCGGCUGUGAAAUCCCGAGGCUCAACCUCGGGUCUGCAGUCGAUACGAGCAAACUAGAGUGUUGCAGGGGGAGACUGGAAUUCCUGGGUGUAGCGGUGAAAUGCGCAGAUAUCAGGAGGAACACCGGUGGCGAAGGCGGGUCUCUGGGCAACAACUGACGCUGAGGAGCGAAAGCGUGGGGGAGCGAACAGG
rnacentral:rRNA from 1 species